rnacentral:rRNA from 1 species
AGAUUGAACGCUGGCGGCAUGCCUUACACAUGCAAGUCGAACGGCAGCACGGGAGCAAUCCUGGUGGCGAGUGGCGAACGGGUGAGUAAUAUAUCGGAACGUGCCCAGUAGUGGGGGAUAGCCCGGCGAAAGCCGGAUUAAUACCGCAUACGACCUACGGGUGAAAGCGGGGGAUCGCAAGACCUCGCGCUAUUGGAGCGGCCGAUAUCAGAUUAGCUUGUUGGUAGGGGUAAAGCCUACCAAGGCGACGAUCUGUAGCUGGUCUGAGAGGACGACCAGCCACACUGGGACUGAGACACGGCCCAGACUCCGUACGGGAGCAGCAGGUGGGUAAUUUUGGACAAGUGGGACGCGAAGCCUAGACUCCGA